UGCCCUGUACGUCAUUUUCAGUCUUCAAUUCCUCCCAGCCCGUUAAAUGGAAACUGUGAGUUGAGGCGAGUUGAAGACUAAAAAUGCUGUGCAGAAUCA
rnacentral:pre_miRNA from 1 species